GGCUAUCUACAUUCAGCCUGACAGGCGGCAUUUGUAAAUGCCAAGAAAGGAAUUACCUGAAAAAGAUCACUUCCUCCAAUUCAAAUGAGAAAAUCUACCCUUGGAAGAAUUCAUAUACAACAUGGACUGAAAAGUAAAAUUCAAUCACAGAGAAUACAUUCAGCAUCUUUGUGUUGGGUUCUGUACUUGUAAAGUUUUUUUUCCAAGGUGAUUGGAAAAUAGUGCAUUUGAGCUGAAAUCCUAUCUCAGAUAGAAAAUCAAGAUAGACUUGUUUAAAAACAAGUGCACUGUGGCUGGCCAGUUAGCUCAGUUGGUUGGAGAGCUGUGUCCAAAUGCCAGGGUUAAGGGUUCAGAUCCCUGUACUGGCCAGCUGACAAAGGAUUUUUUUAAAAGUGCACUGAAUGGAUUAAUUUCAGCUUUUACAGAACAUGCUUAAUUUUUAUAUUGAGCUCUAAAACACAAAACUCUUUUAUACUGAAAAAACACUUAAAACAGUUUUGUGUGACAUAACAGUGAUUUGUCAUGAAAAGCCACAUUGUGUGGGGGACGUGCUAAAAUGGUUUCUGAAUGGAACAGGGCAGCGUAGAUAGAUGCCACUGAAAUGCUGAAAUCAUCUUUGCUGAGCAGCUUUUGAGUGCCAGGGGUUCCAGGAUGUAACCAAAGUAGGAGUUUUCUGAAUUCCUUGGUACAGGGUUCAUUCAAACCCCUAAGCUAUGAGAGUAUGUUUAUUUUUUAAAUUUUUAAAGGUAUUUAAUUUUCCAAACACAUUUCUUAGUUUUAUGAAAAGACAGUAUUCCAUUUCAAUAUUGCAUUUUAACAAGAAGUCACUGCUUUUUGAGUGUGGCAUAUCAAUAUUUAAAUAGAACUCCAGAAAUGUAUUUUAAAGAAUUUCAGGUUUGAAAGCUCAAACCAAAAGAAAGAUAUCACACCUUUGUAUGUGCUUCUUUGUUCUUGAAGUAAUCAUUAUGAUUUAUUGGACUUUACUGUAGCAUACGUUCCUAGGUUGCUUCAUUUCUUAGGAAAAUAACAAUGGACGAAUGUACGUAACUGCAUGUGUGAACUACUGCUAUAGAAUUUGCUGACACUUCUGCAACAACUCCAUUUCUCCACCCAAUUUAUCAUCACAAGACCAGAGCUUGAAAUUAUUCAGAAAAUCCAAGGCUCUGCUUUUCUCAAAAAGCACCAAAUCAACAGAGAAAUUAAAUGCCAUGGAUUUAAUGUUUGAAGACUAAUUUCUGGGGAUUAUCUAAGUACUCAGACAGCCUACCUCUCGACUCUCCACAUCUACAUCUAAGAUCCUGAAGGCCAAAGAGAUGUGCCCUGGGGAUGCCAAGGUCAUCAGUAAGUAGAAGAAAGGGUAAAUCUUUCUAGAGAUUUGACAUCAUCCUGCUGGCCUGGUAUUGUUCAGAAAUAUCCACUUUUGGAAUCAGACCUGCUCUGCAGCCAUAAAGAAGCUGUUUCACUUUCUCAAGUAAUCCAGAGCCCUGCAAGCGACAUUGUGAAAGGCCAUCCUUUGUAAAUAUUUUUAACUUCAGUGACCUCAUUUAAACUUCUAUGGUCCUAUUUGUUAAACUAUUUUCCUCUGAACACCAAAUUCAUGGGCAACUUAGUCUCAAUAUUUUCUGUGUCGUAAGUGUGCUUGAAAAGAGGUUUAUGGGAAGAGAUAUUUUUACAAAAUUUGAUGCUUAGGGAGCCAUAAUGAUUUUACCUAAAAAUGCAUAUACAUACUCACAUGUAUAUAUUUACAUAUAUAAAUGUUCUCUUUUCCUUUUAUAAAAUCAAGUUCUAGACUCAGUUGGGACACAGAAAUAUUUGCACCAAAAGAAAAAAGUGGUUGCAUGGUGAUGGGGGCUGUGAGAAACCAUGCGCACAUUCUCUUUAGGGCCACACCUGCACACUAAGAAUGGUGGCCCCUCGGGCCCCCGUGGAGUGUGCUUUCACAUGGGGUAAGGUCUUUGCAGAACAUGUUGUGAUCUACUCCAUGUGAAUUGACUGUCUCACUCUCCACAGCAUUAAGAAAACUAAGGAAGACCCAGGCCCCAAACCUGUGUCAUUUGCCAGGUGCAGUCACAUUAUUGUUCAAAUAAAGUGGCUCCUGCCAGAUCAACUUUUAAAAAUAGUAUCCUAUGCACUCUUCACUUAUAUCCAACACUUCCCCCCCCCCCCCCUUGGUCUUGUCCCCUACGGGAGAUUUUCAAAAAGGCUGCUAGAGAGAAAUCUGUUAAUAAAACACAUGUUCUUUUUGCUGUGAAUACCAGCUCCAGUGAAUUGGUCAUUUAUGCAGGAUUUCAGUCCUCAUUUCUUCAGUGACACUCUAAAGGGUUGACAUGGUUUAAUGUAGCAGGGAUAAAGUGGAAUGUACUUCAGAGAUGGAACAUGUUUAAGAGAUUUACAAACCAUUGGGGGACACUAUCAGCCACUGAGCCAGUGGGGAAGCCCUUCAGUGGCUCUCCAUCAGCACCCCACCAUUCCCAUCCUCCCCCAUGGAAAUAAUCUGAAAAAUGAAAAGAAGGGCUUUAAAAUCUUCAAACCGAUGUUAUUUUUAUAAAAACUAAAAUGCACAAUUUAAUUGUAAACAGCAGACUUUUAAAUGCAAACAUAGCUUUAAGGUAAGUCCUCUGAGCACCGCCUUCCAAUGAGACUGGUGUCCCUAGGCCCUCCUACACAGAAACUCUGAAACCACCACUGGAUGUUAACUAUGUUAACUCUGCAGUGAAAGGAAACCCAAAGCACAUUACAAGAGGCUAAAUAUUCCCAAAGGAAGCACUAUUUCACAACACUAUUACGUAGAACAAUAGAGUUAAACUGUAACAUUGUAAUCUAGCAAACAAAUCCGUAUCUUUGAACUUCAUAUUAAAAUUUAACCUUAUAUUUAGAAGUUCAAACGAACAGCCUUUGGCAAUCAACCUUAAGCAAAAGGUAAAGUAGCAUAUGCAGACUCUUCAGCCCCAGCCUGAUAGUCCCCUACAACACCUAACACCCAGCAAGCAAAUCCAGUUCCUAAUUGAUGGGAAUGGAUCUUUCUGCCACUAUAGGCCUGAGCUUAACCCCUGAAUCCACUGCUGUUCUCACCCCCCAAGAUCAGCCCCCCACAUGAGACACACGUGAGCUCUUCUUGCUAAAACUUUACCAUACCAAAAACUAUGCAAGGAAGAGUCAUCACUUCUAACUUUAGACUCCCUGCUCUGAGAUCAGUGAUUUUGUUUGUUUGGUUUUUCCAUUUUUUGUAUAGCAAAACCUUUCCCCAGUAGCUAAUGAAUCUAGAACUUUACACAAGACGCCCUUGCAUUUUCCUACUGCGCCAGGCUGGAGAAUCUCAGCACUAUGAGGACUGGGCAGUGAGUGCCAGAGCCGAUCUGCAGAAUCUCUCUACCUUCUGCCUCCCAGCUGAUUUCUUCUCUUCUUAACUACACAGGGGGAGGUUUUGUUUAGAUUUGGGGCUUUCUCUCAAGGCCAUUCUAUGCCUUGUGCCCCUUGCAGGGUUUUGAGUGGUGGCAUGUUAUCUUUGCUCAUGAGCGGAGACAGAAAUCCUUUAAAUAGCUGACAUGCCCUGCAAAUCAUGGCACUAAACUAGGGACCAAUGACAUCAUAACUGUGAUUACAUUGGGUUUUAGCAUAUUUCCAGUCACAUCCUUAUGAAAAAAGACAAAGUGUGGAGUUUUAGAAGCUCUUCUGCAACACUGAGAUUCCGCGUUUGAUCUUUUAUUUCAGUUUGAUCUAAGCAUAUAGAUUGAGGACAAAAUUUUAAAAAUAAAUCUUCCAAAUGAGAUGAGAAUGAGAGCUAGUUGUGCUCUUGAACAGUCCUUAUUGACAUUACCUUGUCCCCUCUCCUUGGAGAGAGAUUGAAUGGGGAAAAGUAAGUAAACAUAUUAUUUCUGUCCUCCAUAUACUCUCUAAGCAGAAGGGAGCCAUCACACGGAGGUCCAGUGCCAUGUGACAAUCUUUCUGUUGCACCCCUGCAACAUCUUGCACCUUGAAAAGCAGAAAAAAUGGGGGAUGUGUUGGGAGAAGAUGAAACUAUUUAACUUUUAUGCCUCCAUUCUUAUGCCUCAAAAGACUGUAAGCUCCUUCAGAUGCCGUGUAUCCUGCCCUCGAUACUAACACAUGUACUUUGAACUGUAAAUUUUUGAUUAAAUAAGAGCAAAAGUAUAUUCUUACCUGAAGAUUAACCAGGGCUAAUUUCCUGGAGUUGAACUCACUUUGGGCUCAAGUAAAAACAAUUACUUGAAGCAGCAACAGUUCAGACCUUCUUCAUUCUAGAAUUAUUUCACACAGGAGAUUCUGCUAUUUAGUCUUUUAUUUCUGGGACAUUCCUGACCUUACUCAGGAUGAAACAGAUGCUCUGCACUCCUAUUAGGAAAUGUUUGUCUGUAAGAAAAAUGAUAUACUGUGUGUUACUACUGUGAGGUUGUAAAAUUGUUAAUGGACAAUAUAAAGAAUUUAUCCAUUUUAUUAAAAAGAAAAAUAUUGCAUAUAAUAACUACUACCCUGAAACAUCUAUCAUAAUCAUGCAAUAAGCUUUUCUGCAUGGUCUAACAUAAAGUGUGUUGCAUUGCUCAUUUUUUUUGUAUUUACCUCAGAAUAAACUCAUUAAAAUGAAUAACUUAAGGCUAUGUGCAUUUCUACAAGACUUUUAUUGGAUAAACCCAUUAGAAUAAAAUGUCUUGAUUGCAUUUAAGAGCAAAGAAGCACAAUCUUUGUUGACUUUAGUAUUUAUUAUGUGCCUAAUUAAAAGUCAUUUUUUAAAGAAAUUAGUUAUGAAGUAACAAUCCUUUAAGCUGUUAUGAUUAGAAAUAACUGAUAGAGUAAAAGAGAGUUUUGAAUAUCCUAUGUAUGACACAUCCUGUACACUUAUUUGAGGUCAGAGGUUUGGUAUUUUUGUAUAAUUCUAUCUUAUCUUGUGCAUCAGCUGUGUAUUUUACGUCAAGAUAAAUGAGCAUCCUGUAUUAUAUGUUAAAUUAAAAAAAUGACUCUUACAAAGAA